AUGAUAGAGAAACUGCUAGCUAAUCCCUUUGCGGGAGAUGGAACAUUGCAUCCCGAUUUACACCUUAUCUUUCUGGAUGAAGUUUGUGGAUUAUUUAAGCUUGCAGGUAUACCCAAUGAUGUUGUCAAGAGGAAGGUCUUCCCUUUAUCUUUGAAGGGAGACACAUUGACAUGGUAUAGGCUAUGUGAUGAUACGGGAUCUUGGAACUAUAAACGAUUGAAGUUGGAAUUUUACCAGAAGUUCUAUCCUAUGCAUCUUGUUCAUCGUGAUCGUAAUUACAUAUAUAAUUUCUGGCCUCGCAAAGAAGAAAGCAUCGCUCAAGCUUGGGGGAGGCUUAAGUCAAUGCUAUAUUCAUGCCCCAAUCAUGAGCUCUCAAGAGAAAUGAUUAUUCAAAAAAUUUAUGCUCGGCUUUCUCUCAAUGAUCGCACCAUGCUCGAUACUUCCUGUGCUAGUUCUUAUAUGCUGAAGACUACUGAAUUCAAGUGGGAUUUAUUGGAAAGAAUUAAACGCAACUCUGAAGAUUGGGGUUCUGACGAUUGUAAGGAGUCAGGUAUGACACCCAAGUUUGAUUGUGUUAAAUCUUUUAUGGAAACCGAUGCUUUUCGUGGAUUUAGCGCUAAAUAUGGACUUGACUCUGAGAUAGUAGCUUCUUUUUGUGAAUCUUUUGCUACUCAUGUUGAUCUCCCUAAGGAGAAGUGGUUUAAAUAUAAUCCUCCCAUUGAAGUAAAAGUAGUUGCACCUAUUAUAGUUGAAGAAAAGACUAUCACUUAUAAUGAUCCUAUUGUUCCUACUACUUAUGUUGAGAAACCACCUUUUUCUGUUAGAAUAAAGGAUCAUGCUAAAGCUUCAAUUGUUGUUCGUAAGAGUAAUACUAGAACAUAUACACCUCCUGAGCAAAUUAAAGUUGAACCUAGUAUUGCUAUGGUUAAAGAUCUCUUGUAUCAUAAUUUAGAUGGGCAUGUUAUUUAUUUCUGUGAUGAAGCUACUAAUAUUGCUAGACCAGAUGCUAAGAUACAUAGACCUGUUGUAGGCAUGCUUGUUAUUUCUGUUAAAAUAGGAGAUCAUUAUUAUCAUGGCUUAUGUGAUAUGGGUGCUAGUGCUAGUGCAAUACCUCAUUCCUUAUAUGAAGAAAUUAUGCAUGAUAUCGCACCCACUGAAAUAGAAGGUAUUGAUGUUACUAUUAAGCUUGCCAAUAGAGAUACUAUUUCACCAGUUGGGAUUGUUAGAGAUGUUGAAGUCUUGUGUGGGAAAGUUAAAUAUCCUGCUGAUUUUCUUGCUCUUGGUUCCCCACAAGAUGAAUUUUGUCCCAUUAUAUUUGGUAGACCCUUCUUGAAUACUGUUAAUGCUAAGAUUGAUUGCAAAAAGGAUGUUGUUACGAUUGGCUUAGGGGACAUGUCUCAUGAGUUUAACUUUGCUAAAUUUUAUAGACAACCCCAUGAUAAAGAAUUGCUUAGUAAGGAUGAAAUUAUUGGUAUUGCUUCUAUUAGCGUGCCUCCUACUGAUCCGUUAGAACAAUAUUUGCUAGACCAUGAAAAUGAUAUGUUUAUGAAUGAAAGAAGGGAAAUAGAUGAAGUAUUCCUUCAACAGGGUCCUAUUCUGAAACACAACUUGCCUGUUGAAAUCCUAGGGGAUCCCCCUCCACCCAAGGGUGAUCCCAUAUUUGAGCUCAGACCUUUACCUGUUAAUCUUAAAUAUGCUUAUGUUGAUGAAAAGAAGAUAUAUCCUAUUAUUAUUAGUGCUGCUAUUGGAUAUACUCUGGAUGAUCUUAAGGGCAUUAGUCCCACUCUAUGCCAACACAAAAUUAAAUUGGACGAAGGCUCCAAACCAGUUAUAGAUCCUCAACGACGAUUAAAUCCUAAGAUGAAAGAAGUGGUAAGAAAUGAGAUACUAAAGCUCCUUGAGGCAGGUAUAAUUUAUCCCGUUGCUGAUAGUGAUUGGGUAAGUCCUGUCCAUUGCGUCCCUAAGAAGGGAGGUAUUACUGUUGUUCCUAAUGAUAAACAUGAAUUGAUUCCGCAAAGAAUAAUUACAGAUUAUAGGAUGGUAAUUGAUUUCCGUAAAUUAAAUAAAGCUACUAAGAAAGAUCAUUACCCUUUACCUUUUAUUGAUCAAAUGCUAGAAAGACUAUCAAAACAUACACAUUUUUGCUUUCUAGAUGAUUAUUCUGGCUUCUCUCAAAUACCUGUGUCAGCGGAGGAUCAAUCAAAAACUACUUUUACUUGCCCUUUCGGUACUUUUGCUUAUAGACGUAUGCCUUUUGGUUUAUGUAAUGCACCUGCUACCUUUCAAAGAUGCAUGAUGGCUAUAUUCUCUGACUUUUGUGAAAAGAUUUGUGAGGUAUUCAUGGAUGAUUUCUCCGUUUAUGGAUCCUCUUUUGAUGAUUGCUUGAGCAACCUUGAUCGAGUCUUACAGAGAUGUGAAGACACUAGUCUCGUCUUGAAUUGGGAAAAGUGCCACUUUAUGGUUAAUGAAGGCAUUGUCUUGGGGCAUAAAAUUUAUGAAAGAGAUAUUGAAGUUGAUAAAGCUAAAGUUGAUGCUAUUCAAAAGAUGCCAUGUCCCAAGGAUAUUAAAGGUAUAAUAAGUUUCCCUGGUCAUGCCGACUUUUAUAGGAGGUUCAUUAAGGACUUCUCUAAAAUCUCUAGGCCCCUGACUAAUUUAUUGCAAAAAGAUAUUCCUUUUGUCUUUGAUGAUGAUUGUGUAGAAGCAUUUGAAAUACUUAAGAAAGCUUUGAUCACUGCACCUAUUGUUCAGCCACCUGAUUGGAAUUUACCCUUUAAAAUUAUGUGUGAUGCUAGUGAUUAUGCUGUAGGUGUUGUUCUAGGGCAAAGAGUUGAUAAGAAAUUAAAUGUUAUCCAGUAUGCUAGUAAAACUCUUGAUACUGCCCAGAGAAAUUAUGCUACUACUAAAAAAGAAUUCUUAGCAGUUGUAUUUGCUUGUGAUAAGUUUAGACCUUAUAUUGUUGAUUCUAAAGUUACUAUUCACACUGAUCAUGCUGCUAUUAAAUAUCUUAUGGAAAAGAAAGAUGCUAAGCCUAGACUUAUUAGAUGGGUUCUCUUACUCCAAGAAUUUGAUUUGCAUAUUAUUGAUAGAAAGGGAGCUGAGAACCCCGUUGCAGACAACUUGUCUAGGUUAGUGAUAGAUGCAAAGGUGUCCCGUCUUUCGAUGAGAUGA
rnacentral:rRNA from 1 species